rnacentral:rRNA from 1 species
UACGUAGGGCGCAAGCGUUAUCCGGAAUUAUUGGGCGUAAAGAGCUCGUAGGCGGUUUGUCGCGUCUGCCGUGAAAGUCCGGGGCUCAACUCCGGAUCUGCGGUGGGUACGGGCAGACUAGAGUGAUGUAGGGGAGACUGGAAUUCCUGGUGUAGCGGUAGAAAUGCGCAGAUAUCAGGAGGAACACCGAUGGCGAAGGCAGGUCUCUGGGCGAUUAACUGACGCUGAGGAGCGAAAGCAUGGGGAGCGAACAGG